AACGAACGCUGGCGGCGUGGCUAAGGCAUGCAAGUCGAACGGACAUGAGCGUUGGGUAACUGAUGCUCUUGUUAGUGGCGAACGGGUGAGGAAUGCAUGGAUAACGUACCCUGGGACUCGGGAAUAGCGGCGGGACUUCGGUCCCUUUGCGAAAGUGCCGGUAAUGCCCGAUGACCCCGNGUGGUUGCAUGAUCGUGCGGGCAAAGUUCAGGCGGUCUGGGANCGGUCCAUGUCCUAUCAGCUAGUUGUGGGGUAACGGCUACCAAGGCAACGACGGGUANCGGGUNUGAGAGCAAUGACCCGANACAUCCGGAACUGAGACAC
rnacentral:rRNA from 1 species